UUACUAUUGAAUAUUCUGAGAACAUGGUAACCACAUUCUGGUAACACUGCAACGAACUGUGCGCCAGCCUGGCCUUCGCCGGCUCCUCGUCUGAAUAUUGUUACCUGCAACAGAUAACAAGAACAGCCAACAGAGCCACCGCCUGGAUCGCUGGAUUCGACCUCGAGUGGUCCAGGGCUGGAGGAACCUCGCAUGUGGCACACAAUACCCAUUGUGCAUGUUAGACCAUAAAAUGCUUCACAAUGUUGACUACCUGGUUAGCAACACACAAUUCAAUGCAUGAAGAUUUCUAACUGCUUUGAACAUUUGCAUUAUUUUACUGUAUAAUACUUUAAAUAAGUGUUCGCCAACGGGUUAAAUAUGUUGUAAUUUCUAAUAAAAAUCGA